rnacentral:lncRNA from 1 species
AACACCGGGGCCCAACGGCAGGGGCUUGGGCAGGAGCAAGGUCCGAGGGCUGCCAGGUCCACGCUGCUUUUAUGAGCUGUAACACUCACCGCGAAGAUCUGCAGCUUCACUCCUGAGCCCAGCGAGACCACGAGCCCACCGGGAGGAGCGGACAACUCCAGACGCACCACCUUAAGAGCUGUAACACUCACCGCGAAGGUCUGCAGCUUCACUCGUGAGCCCAGCAAGACCACGAGGACACCGGAAGGAAGAAACUCCGAACACAUCUGAACAUCAGAACGAACAGACUCCAGACGCACCACCUUAAGAGCUGUAACACUCACCGCGAGGUUCCGCGGCUUCAUUCUUGAACAAUGAAUCCUCCAAUGUACCUGACUCUCCCUUCGCGAAGAGCAUCUCCUCCCUGGCAGAAAUCUGAAAAUGCCCCUGGGGAGACACAUGCACAAGACA